rfam:TPA: Bos taurus chromosome 7, whole genome shotgun sequence.
UCCCUGGUGGUUCAGUGGCUAAGAUUCUGCACUCCCAAUGCAAGGGGCCCAAGUUCAAUCCCUGGUCAUGGAA